rnacentral:rRNA from 1 species
UACAGAGGAGCCAAGCGUUGUCCGGAUUGACUGGGCGUAAAGCGCACGCAGGCGGACGCGCGCGUGGGGUGUGAAAUCUGGCCGCUUAACGGCCAGGCGCCAUCCCAUACGGCGCGUCUGGAGUGAUGCAGAGGUCGGUGGAAUUGCCGGUGUAGUGGUGAAAUGCGUAGAGAUCGGCAGGAACAUCAGUGGCGAAAGCGACUUCCUGGACCAGUACCGACGUUCAGGCACGAAAGCGUGGGGAGCAAACAGG